rnacentral:rRNA from 1 species
AAUAGAUACCCCGGUAGUCCACGCCGUAAACGAUGAGUGCUAGGUGUUAGGGGGGUUCCGCCCCUUAGUGCUGCAGCUAACGCAUUAAGCACUCCGCCUGGGGAGUACGGUCGCAAGACUGAAACUCAAAGGAAUUGACGGGGGCCCGCACAAGCGGUGGAGCAUGUGGUUUAAUUCGAAGCAACGCGAAGAACCUUACCAGGUCUUGACAUCCCACUGACCGCCAUGGAGACAUGGCCUUCCCUUCGGGGACAGCGGUGACAGGUGGUGCAUGGUUGUCGUCAGCUCGUGUCGUGAGAUGUUGGGUUAAGUCCCGCAACGAGCGCAACCCUUGUCCUUAGUUGCCAUCAUUCAGUUGGGCACUCUAAGGAGACUGCCGUACAAAUACGGAGGAAGGUGGGGAUGACGUCAAAUCAUCAUGCCCCUUAUGACCUGGGCUACACACGUGCUACAAUGGGUGGUACAAAGGGCAGCAAACCCGCGAGGGGGAGCGAAUCCCAAAAAGCCACUCUCAGUUCGGAUUGCAGGCUGC